rnacentral:lncRNA from 1 species
ACCUGCACAUUGUCACGGGAACAAACCAUCCCCACAGGGACUGGCAUUUGUAAGCCAUUGUCAUACAUGCUUGGCACGUUAGAAAUCCAGAGGGCAGAAUGCCUCCCUCUCUCCACUACAAAUAAAGGUAGCCAGGCAGGUCAGAGUUAAUGAACAACAUACCAUGAUGUCUUCUUUAACAAAUCCCUGGCAACUAAGCUUCCUCACCACAAACAAAUGAACAAGUGCCAUUCAGCAGCCACUCCAAGCUGGUGUUAGGUCAGUGCCCGGCCAGAGGUUCACGAUAUCUAUGGAAAGCAGGUUGCAAUGGCUCGGGCGGGAGAGUGUAAUUGAUGGACAAACUCAAGCACUCAAAGGCCACCCAUUUGCUUCCCACCUCAAACCUCUUAGCCAGUGAUACAGAGAGAAGAAGAGGAGGAAGAGACACCUCAGGGAGAGGGACACUGUGUCGGUUUCCUGUGGCUGCUGUAACAAAUUCGCACAGACUGAGAGCCUUCGAACAGCAGGCAUGGAUCCUCUCACGGCUCUGGAGGCCAGAAGCCCAGGAUCAAGGUGUCAGCGAGGAUGCCAGCCUUUGGACUGAAGUCCCACCCUAUGACCUCGCCUUAAUUUGAUUACGUCUGCAAAGAUGCUAUUCCAGAAUAAGGUCACAUUUACAGUUGCUGGGGGUAUGAUCGCUUGGAGAACACAGUUCAAACCCCUGCAGACACAAAUUCAUGCCUGCCCACCAGCUCGAGCCCCAGACACUGCUUUCAGGGGAGCCCAUGCCAAGGCAGCAGAUUCACAAUCAUGAUCAAUGCCUCCGGGACUAUGAAAACGCCAUCAUGAAUGUUUACAUUAUUCUCUUGGGUGAGCGGAGCUUUGGAAAGGAAAAAAAGGAAAGUCUAAACUGACAAACUUCUGAAAACACUCGGGUCUGGCAGGAGUUCUCUUCUCUCCCCGAGAGCAGAAUUGGGGUUGAGCGGCACUUGGUAGGCGUGGAGCGCGCUUCAGUCUCGGGCCACUACCCCAGGCGUUUUCUCAUCUGACACUCACAGCAGCCCUCGGGUGGCUUUGCAGUGCGUUCCCGCCCUCCCCCGCCAAGAGUGGGUGCAGAAUUUUUCCCUGCUCCGCGUCAAUGCUGGGUGUGGCCAUGAGCCCUGAAAUUACACAUGGAGCCCAGCCUCUGCUGAUCUGUACCCAUUAAGAAGAAAAAAUGUUGAUCUUUGUUGCUGUAGGUCAUUGAGAUUUCUGGGGUUGUCUGUUAUGUAGCAUUAUUCUAGCGACUAGUUCCCAGGUCAUUCAUUCACUCAACAAACACUGUGUGGCUGCCUUGGGUUAGGAAUGCUGCUAGGAGCUGGAGAUAAAAAGACAGGACUUAGUCCCUAGCCUCGGGGGUCUUACUGUAUAAUAGAGUUGUGGCUGUCAGGCUGUGAGGAGACAAGACAAAGCCAGUUCCCUGUCGCACAGGGGUUUUCAGAGUUCGGGGUGGAGAGGGUGGAAAUGGGAGCCCCAACAGGCAGGGUGUCAGGUAGGGCAGCCCACGUCCCACCCAGAACGACAUGCCUCCUUUUUAAUCUGUGUCAUAUUUUGGGGUCUUGAGUAAGGUGCUAUUUCCCAGAAGGAUCCUAAUGCCAAAACAGUUUGCAAAGCUCUGUGGGAGGAAGCUGCAGGUCACAGGAGGGGAAACUUAGAUCACACAGACUCAAUAAGGAAGACCGGGGCUGCUCCCAAACCUCAGGCAUGAUCCACUGGGAUCCAUCAGCAAUGUCUUUUUCCUCUUUAUUAUUUCUUCCAAAUACCAGCCCUGGGAGACACGUUAGAACCCAUCUAGCUACACAUAACAGCUCUCCACAUCUCUGUGGGAAUAUAGACAGGCCCGAGGCAGGGGGCUGGCUCAGGGUUCCACAGUGGCAGAGGAAGAGCCUCCACAGAUCCCGCCUUGCCCUCUGUCGCCAGCUUCUCCUCUCUGCCUCCAUGAUCUGGAACCUUCAGCUGGUCAACUGAGCCACGCCCGGUGCUGUGGUGCUUCCCCAAGCUGCACACGCCGAUGGCAGUGAGGAAUGACUGCGCCCAUUGCAUCACCUCCUCGCUGUCAGUGAGCCAGUGAGCACCUGCGGCUGCUUCGAGGGGAACUACAAUAAAACUUCCAAGACAGUCCACUUUUUAGGAGGUAUAAGCAAAGAGCAAACACAACCUGUCAAUCGUGCCGAAUGCUGCUGAUGCUGUUCUCUCAUCCUAAAACAGACGAUGAAAAUGCUAAGCUCUGUAAAGAAGGACUUAGUCAUAUUCAAAAUUCUCCAAUAAACACCUCACUGUUGUGUUUCGCCAGCUCCGCAUUACACGCAAGUCUCAAUGGCCCGUGGCUCAGUGUCCUGCUCCGUGAAAUGACGGAAUUGGACACAGCUCACAGCUCACUCUGGAGUUAACUGAAGCCCUUGAAGGAAAACCACCAGGUUUUCUAAGAGUUUAUGGCAUUAUUUAUUUUUAUUAUCCUCACCAAAAAUUUAUGUUCAGCCACUUUUUUUUUCCUCUAAAUUUUCUGGAACGUUUCUCCUUAGUGUUCUUCAUUCAUGAAGCACAUAAAAGUCUCUUUGACCUUAUCUCUCUCUCUCUUUUUGUAAAGCUCUUCUUGGUAUUAUUGAAUUUUAUUCAUAGCAAGACCCAUCUGAGGCAAUCCUGGUGCAAUCUUCCUCACUUUGUCUGUCUUCCUUCCUUCCUUCUUUCCUUUCUCCCUUCCUUCUCUCUCUCUUUGUGUCUUUCUUUCUUUCUUUUUCUUUCUCUCUCUCUCUUUCUCUCUC